AAAAAAUAAUGAAAACUGUUGCGCUUUAUUCCAGAAUUACAAGCCUCCAGUGAAUAGUGACAUACCAAUGGAUUUCCGUAUAACAAUCGGAAUGCGGCCCAUCCAAAUGGAAUUUUACGUUCUAAAGCUACCGGUGAGCCUCCGUUAUGCAUGUCCGUCUGUGUGCUUUUCGCUUUGCGCAGCGCGGUUGAUGCUGCUCGUAGUGAUACAGGCAAUCCAGGAUGGUAUCGAAUGGGUAAGUUUCCGCUGCGGUUAUUACUUGUAGAUAGAAAGCGUCAUCAUUUGUAUCUCUUUUCAUUUAGACGGUUCUGCAACUAUCGAAAAACUUCAUAAAAUGAUGUUGACUAAUUCCCCACAGUACUUAUUCCAGUCAACAAAAAGAGAAAAGUCCCUUUUAAAGCACGCUUUCUCUUUUAUCUUUACAAGUGCAAAUAU